AUGAGCUACCAGCAGGGCGCCACCGCCACGGCCUACCCUCCGCAGCAGCAGCAGGCCUACGUGGCGGCGCCGCCGCCGGCCGGCUACCCGCAGAAGGACCAGCAGUAUCCUGCCGCCGGCGGUGCCGACACCACGACGAGCCGCGGCGGCCAUGGACACCACCACGGCGGCGGCUUCUGGAGAGGCUGGUAAGUCUUUGUUUGUCCCUUCUGAGUUCUGUCUCUGCAUGCAGCAUGCACCCUUCCCAUGCAUAGCCUUGUUCAUGAUGAGAGAUGCUUAGUAUGUUUGUCUGCUUCUUGUGUUGUUGCAGCUGCGCCGCGCUCUGCUGCUGCUGCCUCCUCGACGCCUGCUUCUGAUCAAGUCGAUUUUAUCCAUCGUGCAUGCCCAGUUACGUUACGUGGUCUGACGAGUGCUCCUGCUGUUCGUCACGGUUCAUGCGGAGUCCGGACGUCAUGCAGUAGUUUGUUUUCCCUUUCCGCUUUGUUGGUUACUUCUGUGAAUAGUGCUGUUUUUGUUGGUUGCUGAGCACCAUUUCUGUCUAGUGUAUCAUGGUGAUGUUGCUCCAUCUCUUGUACAUUGACUAUGUAUAUAUUAAUAUAUAAACAUGAUUCGUUUCUCUUGUACAUAUAAACAUGGUUCCAAGUAUAACUGUGCAGAAGUCGCUUUAAUUUAUACUUCCUAAAUAUAUCUCCUUUUAGAGAUUUCACUACAAGACUACAUAUGAAGCUUUAAAGCAUGUCU
rnacentral:lncRNA from 1 species